rnacentral:lncRNA from 1 species
AACAUUGCGAAUGGUGGUAUUGUGGAGGUAUGUAGAGAGAGAAAAAGGUGACGAGUUAAUUUAAAAGAACUGCUCGAACAGCCACAGCCUCUAGGGACGUUUGGAGUG